GACGAACGCUGGCGGCGUGCUUAACACAUGCAAGUCGAACGGAAAGGCCCUGCUUUUGUGGGGUGCUCGAGUGGCGAACGGGUGAGUAACACGUGAGUAACCUGCCCUUGACUUUGGGAUAACUUCAGGAAACUGGGGCUAAUACCGGAUAGGAGCUCCUGCUGCAUGGGGGGGGUUGGAAAGUUUCGGCGGUUGGGGAUGGACUCGCGGCUUAUCAGCUUGUUGGUGGGGGAGUGGCUUACCAAGGCUUUGAUGGGUAGCCGGCCUGAGAGGGUGACCGGCCACAUUGGGACUGAGAUACGGCCCAGACUCCUACGGGAGGCAGCAGUGGGGAAUAUUGCACAAUGGGCGGAAGCCUGAUGCAGCAACGCCGCGUGCGGGAUGACGGCCUUCGGGUUGUAAACCGCUUUCGCCUGUGACGAAGCGUGAGUGACGGUAAUGGGUAAAGAAGCACCGGCUAACUACGUG
rnacentral:rRNA from 1 species